GAUGAACGCUGGCGGCGUGCCUAAUACAUGCAAGUCGAGCGAACGGACGAGAAGCUUGCUUCUCUGAUGUUAGCGGCGGACGGGUGAGUAACACGUGGAUAACCUACCUAUAAGACUGGGAUAACUUCGGGAAACCGGAGCUAAUACCGGAUAAUAUUUUGAACCGCAUGGUUCAAAAGUGAAAGACGGUCUUGCUGUCACUUAUAGAUGGAUCCGCGCUGCAUUAGCUAGUUGGUAAGGUAACGGCUUACCAAGGCAACGAUGCAUAGCCGAUCUGAGAGGGUGAUAGGCCACGCUGGAACUGAGACACGGUCCAGACUCCUACGGGAGGCAGCAGUAGGGAAUCUUCCGCAAUGGGCGAAAGCCUGACGGAGCAACGCCGCGUGAGUGAUGAAGGUCUUCGGAUCGUAAAACUCUGUUAUUAGGGAAGAACAUAUGUGUAAGUAACUGUGCACAUCUUGACGGUACCUAAUCAGAAAGCCACGGCUAACUACGUG
rnacentral:rRNA from 1 species